GUGAACUACAUCUGAUAAGAAGUGAACUUCUUCAAGAUGUUUUGGUUUCUGUUGAGUUUUUUUAGUCUCAACUGGACUACAUGGUCAAUGUUUAGUGAGCUGCAUGAAAGAGGCAAAUGGGCUACAUUAAAAAUUACAUUGCACCAAAAGAAUGUUACCUCCCACCAACAUUAUUUUGAUUUUUUUUAAAGAACAAGUGAACCGCACAAAAACACAAAGUACUGCACGAUCGAGCCAACCAAACUGCACGCACACUUUCUAUUUUGCGCCACUGUCUAUGGUCGCUGAUGAUGUUCAUGGGCACAAUACAUCCAUCAAUUGUUUUACACAGCCACACACACAUACAUACACACAAAAUCAGCACUAGCACCCGCCGGAGCUGCAAUAGAGGAUCAGCAGAACUGUAUUUUGGGGACCAACCGAGCUGCACUAGAUCAGAAACCUGCACCAGCUUGGUCAUAUCCUUGAAUAGUUUUAAAAAAGAAAAUUUCUAACUGAAUCGCGCACGCCCAUCUGAGCUGCACACCAGGGCCAUCUGAACAGCUCGCGUGCGCGGCAUCUCUGGCAUCGCCGGCGAACUGUAUGGCGGCGCUGCCAGGCACAUCAGCCCUCUGGUAAACCUUUUCUAUUACUACGUCCAAACUACUAGACAAGACUAGUGAACUGCAUUAUUUUAACUAUUUUUGUUCUUUUGUUCUAGAACUUUUCUGUUACAUCAUUAUAUUGUUAUCUUCGCAUUAAAAAAACUGCAUGUAUAUGCAGUACGUACUGCAGGAUGCCAUAAGGGAACAGCAAAGAUGAACUACUAAAGAAAUAAUUAUGCCGCCGGCCACCAUAGUGCAGUGCACAUGUCUCUCGCCGCCUGCAAACAAGAAGUAGGAGAGAGCUGCAGGUGAGAGCCGUAGACUGCACGCCGAGGCGAGCUGCACUGCACGCCACGCUCGACAGCACUGCAUGAUGUGCUCGCUCGCCAGCACGUGGAUUGCACGGGUGCUGUCGCCUGGCUGCAGGGUAGGGAUGCCCGCACGCUCACGCUGUUCCGGACACUGGGCGAAGUGAGCUGCAGUUCGAUCCAAAAACAACCACCCGUAUGGACGAAGUGAGCUGCAUCGAUGCGGGAGUGCUGCCAGGCCGCCAAAUAGAGGAAGUGGGGGUUGGGGGAUCCGCCAUCCCUCUCCUCCCAUGGCACCCAGACCUUGCCGAGCCCCCUCUAGCGCUUCCCUUUCCGUCCGUCGAGGGUCGGUGGAGGCAGAUGCAGAGGGGAGGGAGGCGUUGGCGAGUGGAUCAUGCCGCCCUCCCCCUGCCCCGUGCGCGCUACCCAGGUCGCAGGGACCGGCGCACCUCGAUCCCGCGUGGGGCUGUAGCUCCAUGGCUUGGCGGCGCGGCUAGCCGGGAGGGAGGGCGGUGCCGCAGUGCGCCUUGGCUGGUGACUGGGCGGUUGGGGAGGGGGUGACGAGGAGAGGUGGAGCCGGAUCCCAUCGGAUCUGGUGGUUGUUGGGCGGGAUAGGAAGGCGGGGCAGGGGAGGCUGGUGGCGCGGGGGAGAUGGUGGUGGUGGGGUGGGGUGGUUGGGUCCAUUAUGAAGUUCAAUUGAGUAGGACAGAGUGACUACCAUACCAAGAUGUAGCAGAGGAUGGGGUGUAUUGGCUGGAUUCAAGCCGAUCUGACAGCCGGCGAGGAACUGCAGGCUGCAGCGGAUUGGCAAUACAAUGAUUUCUGCUCCAUUCAUCAACUGUAAAUUCAUCACUGAACCAGGACGAUUGGAAUGGUGUUUUCGGUUGCUUGGAAGGAAGCUCAGUCAUCUAACCACAAGAUCUGAAUUUCAGGAUAUAUGGAGCUACUGUUGGAAUUCUGCAACCUUUUCUGCUGUCAAACUUUACAGAGUUCUGAUUAGAGGAGAGAUGGCACACCCCAAUUUUUAGAAGAUUUGGAAAUCAACAGUUAUUCAGAGAUACAAAAUUUUCUGUUGGUGUCUGAUCGAAGAUAGGCUCAACACAAUAAGUCUGCUUCUCAGGAAAUCAUUUCACCUCCCCUCCUACCAAUGUGUGCUAUGUUAUGAGCAAAUUGAAGAGACCACAUGGUACCUCUUUUUGGACUGCUCAUUUGCUCUGCAAUGCUGGGACCAGAUCAACCCUAAUCAGAGGAGGGACACAUUUUUCAUUCAGGAAAUCAUGCUGUCUUUGAAUGAAUUACCAAAUGGAGUGGCCAUGAACAUUGUCAUUAUGAGUUGCCGGCAUAUUUGGAUGCAAAAGAACAACAAGAUCUUUAAGCAUAUUAAUCCGAGCACCACAUGAUGGAAGCUGCUACUCAAGAAAGAUCUAGAGUUGCUACAUCAUAGAACUAAGCACCAGCUCCUUCAAAAUUUUCAAGACUGGAUUGCCACACGUUUGUAGUCUGAAAGAUCCUUGAGUUAGACAUCUUUCCAAGAGCUGGCAUUGGUUAGAUGGGUUAGCCAUCUCCUUUUCAUUCUGACCACUUUUGUACACACCCUUUGAAUUGCUUUUAACGAAAAUCACCGUAGAACAAUUGUCAUACGGUCUCUGCCUAAAAAAACAUGUAAGAAGAACUGAGAGGUUGAGAAGACUACAUAAUGGGGAAAGUGAAGAAUCAGACGGGUGUGACCCAGAAACCAAUGACGUUUUGUACAUGUAGUAGUGUGGACAAUGUUAUUUUUCCUCCAAAGGAAGUACACGUUAUUUCUUUCUAGAAAGUGGACACUGUGAAAGCAAACCAUGCAACGUGAAAAUAUAAGCUACCAUUGGUACUGCUGAAUGCACGUGUCUUACCAACAAACAUUUAUUGGAUAUGUAUAGUACAUAAAUAAAAUAAAUCACUAAAAUAAAUAUGUGAAUUUUGCACGGCGUUAGAAAAUUUACCAAGAACCACACUAACACUAUGACAACUAUUAAUUUGUGUUUACUGAAAAAUAUAUAACCAAGUAGCAUGGUAAAAAAACAGAAAAUAACAAAUAUAAUAUGAGCUACUUGACCGAUCAUAAAUAAAUAAUUCUUUAUGUCAUGCAUAAUUAGGAAGUAAAUGAUGAAGGGAUAACACAUAUAUUUAGAUAUCAAUAAAAACCCUAACAUGUCGAAGAUAAAACUAUGUUCGUCGUAGUCAUAUAUUUGAAAAUUUCAUAACAUUUGGUUUCAACUUUUUCUUUAGACAAAUCAAACAAUAUGGUUUCAACAUUUAACUUUAUAAAAUGCUAGCCCGCGCAUCGAGCGGGCCACAUUGCUAGUUCACCUAAAUCUAGCAACCUCAAUGGAAAUCACAUAGCAGCAAAAGAACUUUACCGUAUAAUAGAUGCCAACUUCGCAGGAGGAUCAACAUCCAAAGAUGAAAAUCUAAAUCAUGUUUUGUCACAUGUAAGAUAUGUUGUUGAUCGUCUGAAUGACGCAAUGACACAGUUAGAGUAUGAUCUCCAACAGACAAACAUAUGUUAUUGGAGCCUGGACGAUGAUAUUGAAGGAAUCUCUGUUUUAGGUAAUGAUGGACCGCCAAUGGAUAUUUAGGGCAUAUAUAUCAAUGGCUUUGCCUGAUGAUCAUCGGCUCAUAACUAUAACCAUCUAUAUGAUGCGCCAAUACUAUGUAUCACCACUGGGUUCUCUUAAAACACUAUGUAUCAAAACUAAGUUUCUAUUUGCUUAUGCUCAUUGUAAAUUUCUUAGAACAAUAUGUAUCAGCACUACGAGAUCAAUAUAUGAUAUCGUCAAGUAAUAUCAUUGCUUCCUUUUGUCUAAUAUCAUAUAUACUAGCAUAGCCCGCGUGGCGGCACGCCGCGCCCAUCGUUACAUUGUAUUUAUACGGAUCGUAAAGUGCAUUUUUAUAUUUGUAACAAUAGAAUCGUCCAUGGCUAAAACCCAGAAAGAAUAUAUCCGAUGAGUCCAAUAAAAGAAGAUGGAAAAGGGGACAUUUAUUGCAGCUAUGCAUGAUACAUACUGAUGAACGGAAGUUUACACGCUGAUACAUAUUACUAAUAAGGUCUACCUAUUGGCAUUGUAUACAACACGCCGCGCCUGUUGAUACACUAUGCGAUAAAUUCUGUAUAUGGUUAUAUUAAACUUUAACUGUUAACUAUUUGAUUAAUUAUUCAAUUGUUUCUUAUUCAACUUUAAUUUUUAUGUUGCAAUGUAUAUAUAAACAUCAUAUUGGUACAGAUAAUGAAAUCUUUCAUAGAUAAAAUCAUUAUUGCAUAAAAAGAAUCAAUGCAUUGUAGAUAAAGGGGAAUACAUAUUGAUAUUGCAUGAUAAAAUUUUGAUUCUUCAAUAAUUCAUAGCAUCCAUGUUUGAUCGCUUUCCGGAUUUGUGUCGAUGAUGAAAUUAUACAGAACUUUAUUAAUACUUUAUGUUCAAAUUACAUAUGUGAUAAAAGGAAGACUCAUGUGUUAAAUUUUUGACUGUUGAUUGGUUUCUAGUUUGACAUCAUCUCU